UGGCUCAGAUUGAACGCUGGCGGAAUGCUUUACACAUGCAAGUCGAACGGUAGAGGGGGCAACCCUUGAGAGUGGCGAACGGGUGAGUAAUAUAUCGGAACGUGCCCAGUCGUGGGGAUAACGUAGCGAAAGUUACGCUAAUACCGCAUACGAUCUAAGGAUGAAAGUGGGGGACCGCAAGGCCUCAUGCUCCUGGAGCGGCCGAUGUCUGAUUAGCUAGUUGGUGGGGUAAGAGCCUACCAAGGCGACGAUCAGUAGCUGGUCUGAGAGGACGACCAGCCACACUGGAACUGAGACACGGUCCAGACUCCUACGGGAGGCAGCAGUGGGGAAUUUUGGACAAUGGACGCAAGUCUGAUCCAGCCAUUCCGCGUGCAGGAUGAAGGCCCUCGGGUUGUAAACUGCUUUUGUACAGAACGAAAAGGUCUCUAUUAAUACUAGGGGCUCAUGACGGUACUGUAAGAAUAAGCACCGGCUAACUACGUG
rnacentral:rRNA from 1 species